UUUCGAUUUUUGCCGCGCUCGUUCAGCUUCAGUACGUCGUUCACAUUUAAUCCGUUCGGUGCUUUUUGACUGUUUGGAACCUUUUUAAUAAUUACGUUGAAACGUUGUUGAUUCUUAUUAUAAAUAUUGUUUUGUUGAAUCUGAGGACGAACAAAAACAAAAACAAAUAAAAAAAAGAAACAAAUCCCAAUCAAUGUCAAGGAAACCAACACAUAUGGCAAGGCAACUCUAGGACAAACAACCAAAAAGGAAAAGCAAAAUCAAAAUCAAGAAAACAAAAAAAA